rnacentral:rRNA from 1 species
UACAGAGGGUGCAAGCGUUAAUCGGAAUUACUGGGCGUAAAGCGUGCGCAGGCGGUUUUUGUAAGUCUGUCGUGAAAGCCCCGGGCUCAACCUGGGAAUUGCGAUGGAGACUGCAAGGCUUGAAUCUGGCAGAGGGGGGUAGAAUUCCACGUGUAGCAGGUGAAAUGCGUAGAGAUGUGGAGGAACACCGAUGGCGAAGGCAGCGCCCUGGACGACACC